rnacentral:lncRNA from 1 species
UCCUGCCAUACUGGAACUGAUGCAGCUUGAGAGUAGUAAAGGGGUUCAGUCUACAGAGGAGAAGAAGAUGACCCAGAGAAAGCAGGAAGGUUACAAACAUAAUCCUUAAGAUAAGAAGGAGGAUUGCGUUGUCUGCCAGAUUUCCUGGGAACAUCAGUUGAUGUGGAAGAAAGUAAAGCCGGAGGGGAGAUGUCAAGGUUGAAAGGAGGACUGGAAAUUGGAUUUGAAUGAGGAGAAUCUGGAACAGGAGGUGGAGAGGAAGAGAGUGGAACAGAGAAGUCUUGGUCAGAAGAGGAAUGUUCAAUGGGAGGAAUAGAAGGGAAAGAGAGGUGGAGGUGGAGAGGAAGAGACUGGAACAGAGAAGUCUUGUUCAGAAGAGGAAUGUUCAAUGGGAGGAAUAGAAGGAAAAAAGGAAGGGAAAGCAGGAGGAACAGAGUGACAGAAGAGGCAGAUUUGAAAGGAAAAGAAGUUUCAUGAAAGACAACAUCCCUGGAUACAAAACACUUUUUGGAACUAAGAUCAUAUAGUUUAUAACCCUUUUUGGCAAAAGGAUAGCCUAGGAGAACACAAGAAAUGGCCCUAGGCUUUAACUUUCCCUUUGAGGAAUGGGGACAGUAGCAUAGGCAAGGCAGCCAAAAGCCUUUAAAUGAGAGUAAGUGGGUGCCUUACUAUGCAAGAUUUCACAAGGAGAUUUACCAUGAAGGAGCCUGGAGGGUACUCUGUUAACAAGGUAGGUAGCAGUUAAUAGACAAUCACCCCAUAAAGAAAUGGGUAAACCAGACUGGAAAAGCAAAGCUCUACAGGUUUCAAGAAGAGUUCUAUGUUUCCUCUCAACAACACCAUUAUGUUGGGGAGUAUGUGGGCAAGUGGUUUGGUGUAUGGUGCCAUGUUGGUUAAAAAAGGAUGUACCAGUAAUGCUAGAUCCCAAUUCUAAAGCAUUGUCACUCCUAACAGUUUGUACAGUUGCAUUGAAUUGGGUCUUGACCAUACAGAGAAAAGAUUGAAGCAUGCAGAAAGCAUUGUUUUUAGAUUGUCGCUCCUAACAGUUUGUACAGUUGCAUUGAAUUGGGUCUUGACCAUACAGAGAAAAGAUUGAAGCAUGCAGAAAGCAUUGCUUUUAGACCCUAAUAAAUGUGUCCAGGUUGCCCUAGAAAAAUCAUCAACUGUUGUGAGAAAAUAUCUAGAACUAGAAGAGGUGGGGGUAUGAUAAGGUCCCCAAGUAUCAACAUGAAUCAACUGAAAAGGUUUAGAUGUACUAGUAGUGCUUUCAGGAAAGGAAGCCUAGUCUGCCUAGCCAUAGGACAGGUAGAGCAUUGAAAAGGCUGUUUAGAAGCAAAUGGAAAAGGUAAAGCAGAAAUGUGUUUCAUGUUCACAAAAGGGAUAUGGCCCAACAUUAAAUGCCAAAUGUAAUUCAUGUAUGUGGUAACAGUAUUAUUACACAUCGGACUGUUUAAAUUCAAAGGCAAACCAACAGCUUGAUCACUAGAAUAGGCAUGUUUACAAGAAUUAGAAAGAAGAACAUACAGAAACAGAAGAACCACAAUUAGAAGAAGAUGAAGGUGGCACCCAAACAAGUUUUCUAACAGAGUGAUGGCUUUCAGGAGGAUUCCCUUGGGGAACAGACACAUGUCCAUCAGAAGAAGAGGAUUCCACACCAGCAGUUAGAUGAGCAGCAGCAGGUCUCCUCCCCUUGUUAAAUGUUGUACUUUGUGGAAACCCAUGAAUCUUGAAAUACUUAUCAAUUAAGUGCCCAGAUUUUUUGCAGUAUCUACAUAAUAAAGGCCCUCUAGCUUGGUCAAAAUUGACUCUCUGUCUGAAAGUAGGAGAAGGAUUAGGAAUUGUGGCCUUAUUGAAUCCAACUGAAUGUCUAUUUGUGUGGACAUUGAAAGACAUAGAGUCU